UCGCGGCUUAUCACCGGCAGUCCCCUUAGAGUGCCCAACUGAAUGAUGGCAACUAAGGACAAGGGUUGCGCUCGUUGCGGGACUUAACCCAACAUGUCACCACACGAGCUGACGACAGCCAUGCAGCACCUGUCUUCCGGUGGUAUUGCUACCAAAGACGUAUCUCUACGUUUGUCCGGAGAUGUCAAACCCAGGUAAGGUACUUCGCGUUGCUUCGAAUUAAACCACAUGAUCCACCGCUUGUGCGGGCCCCCGUCAAUUCCUUUGAGUUUUAGUCUUGCGACCGUACUUCCCAGGCGGGGUACUUAUUGCGUUAGCGCCGGUUCGGCGGGGGUCAAGACCCACCAAACCUAGUACCCAUCGUUUACAGCGUGGACUAC
rnacentral:misc_RNA from 1 species